AACCGCACGGGAUAAUCUAUUAUCCCGUGCGGACGCGUUAAGCGGACCGCAUGGGAAGAUUUUUUUCCGUGCGGUU
rnacentral:pre_miRNA from 11 species